rnacentral:snRNA from 1 species
AUCUUUGCGCUUGGGGCAAUGACGCAGCUAGUGAGGUAAAAACCGAGGCGCGUCAAUUGCUGGUUGAAAACUAUUUCCAAACCCCCUCUUUGGCCUGGGCUCGCCCCGGUUGCCACUGAGAAUUUCUGGAAGGGCCCCCUCUAAUCCAGGGUAAGGCC